rnacentral:rRNA from 1 species
UACGUAGGGUGCAAGCGUUAAUCGGAAUUACUGGGCGUAAAGCGUGCGCAGGCGGUGAUGUAAGACAGGUGUGAAAUCCCCAGGCUCAACCGGGGAACUGCGUCUGAUACUGGAUGGCUUGAGUUCGGGAGAGGGAUGUGGAAUUCCAGGUGUAGCGGUGAAAUGCGUAGAUACUGGGAGGAACACCAGUGGCGAAGGCGGCUACCUGGACCGGUUCUGACGCUGAGGCGCGAAAGCGUGGGUAGCAAACAGG